rnacentral:tRNA from 1 species
GCGGCUGUAGCUCAGAGGUAGAGCAUCUGGCUUCCAUCCAGAGGGUCGAGGGUUCGAAUCCCUCCAGCCGCUCCA